CACAAAGCGGGGAGGGGCAAUGCUCUCUCUCCAAACCCCUUAUGUGACAGGAAAGGAUCCAGUCUCCUUGGCUUAUGACGAUGUCACUCCUCAGUUGAGAUUUCUUCAAUGCAGGAAAGUACAGGUCACCAAUGGGACCCCAAAGCUUCCAGGACCACAAUUUAAAUCAGGGAAUAUCAAAGGAAGAAAGCAAGCAGGCGCCACAGUGGGCCUUCCUGCACAGGAGGUCAUUUCAAUAAGGACUCAGAGCUUAGUAAGUGGAGAAAAGAAGGUCAUUCUCAGACAGGAUGUUGGGAAGACGCCCUGAGUGAGCCUUGCUGGGCAAGAGACGCCAACAGGACCAAGAAUGUGGGCCAGUCCCCCAGGAAGUUAUUCAUGAGCCUGCGCUGUAUGAUAAACAGGCAACCAAAGCCUUUCUAAACAACAAAAAUCACAAUGCUCCAAAUUCCAGAAAAUCCUUGAACAAUGACUGGACGUUCUUUAUCCCCGAUUUGCUUAUUUGUGCACCAAAUACUUUCAAAGAAACCAGAAACUGGGGGUCUGCCUUGGGGUUCAGAACUGAACGGAGUGUGCAAGCAGAUGCGUGGACCAUCGCCAUGCUCCCCUGCUCCAACCUCCUUUACCCAGAGCACUUUACAGGGAGUCUCCCGUUGCUGGGUCAGUCCCCCCGGCCCCCGUGGUCUGGAGUUCCCUCUGCCCCCAAUAGCCAUCUUGGGCCAAAGGCCAGCAUGAAGUUCCUUCAAGCUUGACCAGCAGAACUGGGUCAGAAGGCAGAGAGUUGUCUCUGCCGUUCAUGUUACCAAGAAGUACGAGCUGAUCACGUUAGAAAGUUCUUUCUGAAGAAACAAGACAAUGUGGGCAGCUAGAAAUUUUAUAUAUAUGGGAAUAUAUAUCUACCUGAUUUGAAAGACA